UCAUUUUACUCAGACAAAUUAAGCUAGCUUUGACAUCAUGCUAAUCAUAUCAACUUAAAAAUAACUACUAUAAGUUUGCUUCUAAAUUUUGGACUGAAAUCUGUGAUAAGAUGAAGCUCUGAACUAAGUCAAUAUUUAUUUUAUUUUGUUUUUGUAACAAACACAAAUUCCCAAAUGGCAUUAAACUGCUAAAUAGUAAAUUCCUACUGAAGUGAUAAGCAAAGGAUUUUGACUUCCGCUUGUGUGUAUAGAAGGAGUGACUGACGAAUGCAAAGUAGAAAGAGCAGUGACCGGGAAAGUGCAGGAAGCGAUAGUGAGAAGGCACACUGAGACGCCACUUCCUAUGUGACAGGCAGGGUUUAAACUCAACAUAUACGGAUUAAUUUAAUUGUCACCAUAACACCUUGCUGGAGGUAUUAUUGCUUCUUCAAUUUACAUUCGAGAAAACUGAGGCAUAGAGAUAUUAAGGACACACAGCUACUAAUUGGCGGAGGUAAAGGGUUCACACACAGAAGGAUCAUACUGCGCUGUUUUCUCUCAAUUGAAACUGAAGCAUAAAUUUGCAGCGUGACAGAGGACAGAGUCUUCUGUGAAGCAUUAGGACUGUCUUUUAGUGCCUUCCUUUGAGGGAAAAAAUCCCAAAGGGUUUCAGAAAGCUCCUCUCACCAUAGUAAGGGAGGACAACUCCAGAAGGCAGGAGUGUGGCCAGCCUGAGAAGGUGGCCGUGUGGCACGAUGGAGACUGGUGGAGAGAGGCUCCAACUGCUUUUGACCAUACCACUCAGGAUUAAGGCAUCUGGACUUACCUGUAUGUGACAGAUGUCCCUUGGGCCUGGACAACAGAAGAAGUUGCCAUGAGAUUUUGGGCCUUCUGGCUUGAGCUCAGGAUCUAGGAAUGUGGUUAGAAGAAGACAAAAAAUAUUGCCUUGAGAAGUCACUCGCUGUGCCAUUGAUUGGCCCAUGACUCAGCAGAGAUCUUUCCCCAAGAGCAUUAAUUUACAAUGAAACAAAGGAUGAGACCCCAGAGUACAGAAUGAAUCUACGUGUGUACUGGGAACUGGGAGAUGAGGGCAAACGUGAGUGCAAAGAGAGAAAGAAGAUGGAGGCCCCAUGAUUCUGCUUCCGUGGCAACAGCCAAAGCCAUAUUCUGCCACUUCUACCAUAUCUCCUCUAUUCUCUAGAUGGCGGCUGCUCAGCCAAAGGAAAGAAUUCGAUCUGAGGUUGGAGGUUGGAGGAAGAGGAAUGAGUCCACAGAUACACAUUUUGGAUGUGCUGCCUGGAGAUGAUGCAAGUGCUGUCAAGUUUCCCAACCUGGAUUUUAUUUCCUUCAUGAUGAGAAAUAGAAGUACAUAAUUUGGCAGAGAGAAAAGUGAUUAUCCUGUUGGUUAAGAGGAAAAUGUUUUAGUGAUAUGAAAAAUAAAAAAAUCACUACAAAUUCCAAGUGAUAUGUGAUGCUGCUGUAAGUGUGGGAGGUAAGAAUGUCUGGGGAAAAGGAAUUGUUUGUGGAGGAUGGGUGGGUUUGAAUGAGUGGGACUUUGUUCCAGAAAACUAAGAUGGGCAGAUGGAGUUCGGUUUUGGAGCAUGACUUAGACUGGAAUGUGCAUCCAGAAAAAUCCACCGUCUCUCUAUUUUUCAUUUUCUUGAUGCAUCCUCUAACUUUGUUUUCUGUGUCUUUUUUCCCCUGCAUUUCACUCCUGACCUUUUCUUUUAACCGUUUUUUUCAAACAAUUAUGCCUUUACAUGUCUUGAUUACAUGUCUUCUUUUUCAAAACACACACACAAAUGAAGUGCCUCCAACUUAUACACAUAGAAGUGCUAUUAAACUAUAAAAGGCCCAGGUGGAAGAACACUGCAGCCUGGACCAUCUGAAGAGCUAUAUCUUGCUCUAGGUUUUCCCAAAGUUGGCAGAUUUUAGGGUCAACUCGAUAAAUGAGUCUGUUCUGAACGGUAUAUCGAAAGUGGUGUAUGUAACUUCUCAAAUCCAAAGAGACAUACCUAGCAUGUAGUUUUCAAAUGCACCAUUUUUUUUUUUUUUUACACCUGAAGGUAACUAACUUACAUGUUCAAACUAUUAGACACUAGAAACUUUACAGAGGUAUCAGGCUCCAGGAUUUAUCUCCCUAUUCAUAAAUAUAACUUAAAAGACCUCCAUGAUAACUGGUAAUUCUGAGUCACCAAGUCCUAUUAGAAUGCUAUUACUGCUGUAGUGUUUGAAAGAUCCAUAAAUACAUAAUAGGUCCUGGGAUCUGUGUUGAUAUGCAAUUGGAGUAAAUAACUGAUUAAGCUUAAAAUAACUGCCUGGUAUACACUAAGAAUAAUCAUCUCCUGUACUAGCUGAUUUAAAGGAGAAUGUAAUAGAGAUCCUAAGUCUUGCAUCUUUAAAGUUUUGAUGAUGGUGUUAGCCAUUGAUUUCCCCAGGAGUAUAACACUGUUUUUAGCAUCAAUUUUGAAAGGUAGGGUAAAUUCCAGGAACUUUCAGUGUUCAAACUUUCUCUCACUCCAUGAAUUGGAAAAGCAACAUGGGGAUUAUGCUAGUUAUUAAAGUAUCAGUUAUAUGUAAUUAAUAUAAUUGGAUUUAUCUUCCUAUCUAAGAGAAACAAAAAAACUGAACUAAAUAAAUAACACAAUGCUUUUCAAGAUAUUGGGCAUGAGACAACAGAAAAUGGAGACUUUUGAGAUACAGAAAAUGAGGUAAACCCUAAAAUUGCCUAAGGUUACUUAUUUGAGGGAACUUCCAGGUUACAGAGCGAGAAGGAGAAACUCAGGUAGAGCUAGGCAGACUUCCUAUGUUGAAGACACAGAUCUCAUAGUCCAGGAAAAACAAGGUAGCUAGACUGUCAGUAGAUGAUAGAGUACUGGGAUAACAAAGCUGCACAGAGAGAGUUCCAGAGAUCUGUAGAGGGAUCCCUCAAGUGUUCAUCAGACUACUGAUCAGUGAAAGCAUGUGAAAAACUACCUGAGGCUUGGAAAUGAACCACCUAAAAGGAUUAGAAUACAGUAACUUGAGCUCACCCAGGGCUGGGAAUAAACUCUAUUUCCAUCACCCAGAUUGGAAACCCUCAUAAUUCAUUGAACAUUUGGUAUUCAGAAGACUCUUGCCUCUGUGCUAGGGAAUAAUUAGCUAGACUGAGCACUGCUCCAGACCUUAACAAAUCUUAAAUAUAAGGCUCAAAAGCCUCAAACCAUUUUUUAGUAUCAUAAAUGAGUCCAAGAACAAAGAUUGAGAAUAUAGGAUUACAAAAAUAUCCAGCAUCCAACAAGGUAAAAUUAACAAUGCCUGAUGUCCAAUAAAAAAUUAUCAGCCAUUCAGACAGGCAGGAGAAUGCAAUCCAUAAUGAGGAGAAAAUGAAAUCAAUUGAAACUGACCCAGAUGUUAGAAUUGGCAGACAAGAACAUUAAAGCAGUUAUUACAACUGUAUUCCAUAUGUUCAAAAAGCUACAGGAAAAAUUGAAUAUGUAAGUAGUGACAGAAAAGACAUAAAAAUAUAGCCAAACUUCUAGAGGUGAAAACGACAAUGUCUGAGAUGAAAAAUGCAUUGGAUGUUAUUAACUGCAGACUAUACAUUGCAGAACAAAUGAUUAGUGAAUUCGUAGACACAGCAAUAGAAAUUAUGCAAAAUUGGAACACACAGGGAAAAAUAUCUAAUUUAAAAAUGAACAGGGGCACCAAAAUAGCUCAGUCAGUUUAGCGUCUGACUUUUGGUUUCAGCUCAGGUCAUGAUCUCACCAUUUCAUGGGUUCCAGCCGUACAUUGGACUCUGCACUGGCAGCACAGCACUUGCUUGGUAUUCUCACUCUCUUCCUCUCUCUCUGCCCCUCCCCCACCCGUGCUGUCUCUAUCUCUCUCAAAAUAAAUAAAUUAAUUUAAAACAUAAUAAUAAAAAACAAAAUGAACAGAACACUAGUGAGCUUUGGGACAAUUUUUAAAAAAAAAAUUAUAAUUGCAAUUGGAAGCAUGAUAUUCAUGAUAUUUGGCUGAGAUGGGGAAAGGGAAGUGGCAGAAAAGAAUAUUUGAAGAAAUAAUGACAUAAAAAUUUCCAGAUUGAUUAAACUAUUCAAAAAUUUUAACAGUUCCAAAUAUCUCAACUAACUCCAAGCACAAUGCAGAAAAACAGUCCAGCUAAGUGAAACGUGAAGCAUUAGUUACUAAAUCAUCUUUGCACCAUGAGUUAAUGGUUUGAACAGUGAGUGCUUCAGAUAGUAAACUUAAUCCUAAUAGUUUCUAAGGAGCCAUUAAAAGCAUUACAAUAAGUACACAGUAAUAUUAAGAUAAGAAUGAACAUUUUGGGGACACAAUUAUACUGUAAAAAUGUCAUCAGUUUUAAUUACAAGUGGAAUAUUUGACCUAGGAUAUUUCAGAACGGGUGUUGAAUAUCUAAUGUUUAAAAUCAAGGUAACUCAUAAAUUAAACUGGACCAGUGAUAAAGAGAAAGUCUUAAAGGUACACAGAGGGAAAUACACAUUAUAUUUAGCAGAACAAAGAUAGUUUGCUGGAAAUAAUGCAAACGAUAAAACAGUUGGGAGAAGAUGGAAGCAGAGUAGGAUGACCCUAGGCUCGCCUCAUCCCACAAAUACAACUAAAUAACUAUUAAAUCAUCCUAAGUACUCCAGAAAUUGAUCUGAAGACUGGCCAAACAAACUCCACAGCUAAAGGUAGAGACAAGGCCACAUGCAAGAAGGUAAGACGUGCAGAGAUGCAGUCUGGGAGAGAAACAGAUUGUGGCCCCUACAGUGGUAAGGGAGCACUGUUCACAGAGAAGGGUGAGAGAAAAACUAUCACACAGAGGAGGUCACGGGGAAAACAAAUCCUCAUAGCAAUUGGCUUGGAAAGUGAGAGAGGGUCCACAUUGAUGAGUUCUUUCAACCAGAGGGACUUAAAGCCUAGAGUUUUUAAGGCCAGUAUGCUUGGUUCUGGGAGAGCUCAGAGGAUAUUGGGGCUGCUCUUGGAGAAAAGACUGGGCAAACAGACUGUUGACAUACAAUGUGGAAACACUAUAUGAAGAGCUUGCACAUACAAUGAGGAAAUUAGUUGAUCAUUAUAGAGCAUGUCCCACAGAAGUAGUGUUCAUAGAGAGAUCCCUCCAGGAACCCAUCCCUCAGCAUAAGCACAGAGCCACCUGCAGGAAUCAGUGCAGCACUGACACUCGCUACCUAACUUACUUACACCAACCCUCUCCCUACACUCUGCUCCAGAAGAACCACCUUUCCCAAUCAUACUUGCUUCAGUCCCAGUGCAGCAGGCCCCCUCCCCCAGAAGACUGGUCCUAAUCCCUGUCAACACUGCGUCUAGUUUUGUGAGGCCUUGGUUCCAGCGGCAGCAGCAACAGGUCUCAUUACGUAAGCAGAUCAGAGCACACCUAGUUAAAACUGACCCAUUCAGGCCAGGGACCAAACAGUCCCACAGCAAGCAAAGAGAGCUUUGCAGAUGACUGGCCUGAAGGACAACUGACCAGGACAAAACAGCAGAGCACAUGCAGCACACACUGGAGACAGUCAUGGAAGCACCAGGCCCUGGGGAACAGGGAAUAUUAUACGACAGGGCACUACCAGACCUCUUCAUAAUAAAGCCAUUACCUUCAAGAACAGGAGACAUAGCUACUUUCCUAACACACAGAAACAGGAGCAGAGACUUAAGGCAAAAUGAGUAGACAGAGGCAUUUGUCCCAAAUGAAAGAACAGAACAAGGCCACAGCCAGAGAUAUAAGCAAAACAGAUAUAAGUAACAUGCCUGAUGGACAUCUGUGAGACCAUUAACAUAGAAAUAAGGAAUAAUAUGGCAGAGAUAAAGGGAUCAAUAUGCAACGUGAGAAAUAUGCUUGAUCUAAUGAAUUAAUGACCUUAAAGAAAGAGUAAUGGAAAGUAAGUAAGCUGAACAAAAGAGAGAAAAAAGAGUUAUGCAAAAUGAGAAUAGACUUAGGGAAUUCAGUGACUCCAUAAGAUGUAAUAACAUUCAUAUUAUAGGAGGCUCACAAAAGAAAAGAGAGAGAAAGGGGGAAGAGAAUUUAUUUGAAGAGAUAAUAGCUGAAAACUUGACUAAUCUGGGGAAAGAAGCAAAUAUGCAGAUCCAGGAGGCACAGAAAACCCUCCAAAAAUCAACAAAAGCAGAUGAACAUCAAGAUACAUUAUAAUUAAAAUGGCAAAAUACAGUGAUAAAGAAAAAAUAUUAAAGGCAGCAAGACAGAAGAAGAGAGUACAUGCAAAGGAAUCCCAUAAGGUUAUCAGCAGAUUUUUCAGCAGAAACUUUCCAAGCCAGAAAGGAGAAUAGAAGAAGAAAUAGUUUCCCAGACAAAUAAAAACUAAAGGAGUUCAUGACCAUUAAACCAACCCUGAAAGAAAUAUUCAAAAAGACUCAUUGAGUAGAAAGGAAAGACCAAAAAUGACAAUAUGAAGAUAGGAAACACAAAAGCAAUAAAGAUGAAUAUUUCUAUAAAAAAUGCAUCAAGGAACUCACAAAAGAAAAGAAUGUAAAAUAUGCACCAUAUACCUAAAAUGUGGGGAGGAGAGGGGUUAAGAAUUGGCUCAAACUUAAAUGACCAUC